GAGAGAUGUGGAGAAACGGGAGCCCUCUUACAUUGUUGGUGGGAGUGAGAACUGAUGCAGCCACUCUGGAAAACAGUAUGGAGGCUCAUCAAAAAUUAAAAAUAGAACUACCCUAUGACCCAGUAAUUGCCCUACUAGAUAUUUAUCUGAAAGAUAUGGAAAUAGUGACUCAAAGGAGCAUGUGCAUCCCAAUGUUUAUAGCAGCAAUGUCCACAGUAGCCAAACUAUGGGAAGAGCCCAGAUGUCCAUCAACAGAUGAAUGCAUAGAGAAGA